UACAUACAGAAUUUUCAUUAAUAAAUUUAAUUAUAAUAUUUCAAAAUUGUGGGAAUAAACUGCAGAUUUUUUGACGAUCAACCGAGGUUCGGGGUACAUUUUCUCUAAAUCAGCACUGAAGAUAAUUUAAAUUUAUUUUCGAUCUUGGUGACGAUAUAUAUUUUCUCUGUAUAUGUGAAACUAAUUCCUUUUAUGAAAUCAGACUUGUCAAAAUUACAACUCUGAUAGCUGCAACUUGUAGAAAAGUAUAGCAACCAUAUUCAGUCUGCGUAUAAACGCCUAACUAUACUUAUCUGUAUGUGUGUCUCGAAUAAUCCACAAACAACAGCGCAAAAUUCUAAUUUAAUAAGAUUUUAAACGCAGGCGCGUGCUGAUUCCCACUACUAAUGAUUUAGAGUUCGCCCUGGAUGAGGAGUCCAUACGACAGCAUUCGCUCUCUCGUCUUCAUAUCCGUCGUAUGUAUUGGAAUAUUUUGUUUAAUGAAUUAACAUUCAAAUUCCUCGUGCGUACUUGAGGAAGAUCACGUUUAAGCCGUAAUUUAAGCUAAGGACUCACAAACAUAAGCACACAAAUAGCUUGUUCUUUAACAUCAUUCAUGACUAUUAACUUUCGUUUGAUUUGUUAUCGUACUAAAUUAAAAGAAUGAGACGAGAGGGUAAAGAAUGUGAAGAUAUGUAUUAAAUAUUAUAAUAGCAUCGAACUAUUAAUUUGCAAGAGCGAAGAUUACUACGUGCGGUAUUUCUUCUACUUGUAUGUGUGAUGCUAAUUAUGAGAAUUCCAUCCGGCAACGUCCACUAAUGCAAUGUUCAACAGCAGGAAGAUGUACAGCCGCAUUACAGCCGGGAUAUAAGUACCAAAUCAAAGUAAAGUAACCCGAUAAAUUCCAUACGUUCCGCAGACUUUAUAACGUACCGAUAGAAAUGAAAAAAUGUUGGACAAAUCCAGAUUUGGGUACAAAAUAGAAAAAUGAAAUCCGGUAGCCGAGAUAGAAUUAAAUUCAAAAGAAACAAAUGAACUAAUUUACAGAAAAACGUAUUGAUUCAAUUAAGAAACUAACGGCCAGAUGAAACUCUGGUUACAAAAUAGGAAAAUGGACAAAUAACAAAAGUCGGGAUAGAAUUAAAUCCAAAAAAAGAGAGGAACAUGAAUAUGAUGGCAGCCGGGAUAGAAUUAAAUUCAGAAGAAGAAUGGAAAUUCGAAUAUGGCAUCAUAAAAUACGCUUUCGGUGACAUAUUUAUUGAAGGACGUACUGAUUAGGAUAAAAUGUAAUGACCAGGUGAAGAUCUGGUUUCAAAAUAGGAAGAUGAACAAAUAACGGCAGCCGAGAUAGAAUUAAAUUCAGAAGAAAAAUGGAAAUUCGAAUAUGACAUCAUGAAAUACGCUCUCGGUGACGUGUUUAUUGAAGGACGUACUGACUAGGAUAAAAAGUAAUGAUCAGGUGAAACUCUAGUUCCAAAAUAGGAAAAUGGACAAAUAACAACAGUCGGGAUAGAAUUAAAUCCAGAAGAGAAAUGAAAACUCGAAUGUGAUGUCCUAAAAUACGCUUUCGGCGGUGUACUUACAAAAGAACGUAUUGAUAAAGAUGAACAAGUAACGACCAGGUGAAAAUUUGGUUUCAGAAUAGGAAGAUGAACAAAUGACAAUAGCCAACUACUUUAAAGGACCGAUUUGGGAAAGGGAGAGAACAUGAAUAUGAUGGCAACCGGGAUAGAAUUAAAUUCAGAAAAAGAAUGGAAAUUCGAAUAUGGCAUCAUAAAAUACGCUCUCGGUGACGUAUUUAUUGAAGGACGUACUGACUAGGAUAAAAAGUAAUGACCAGGUGAAAAUUUGGUUUUAGAAUAGGAAGAUAAACAGCUAACGGCAGCCGGGAUAGAAUUAAAUCCAGAAGAGAAAUGGAAACUCGAAUGUGAUGUCCUAAAAUACGCUUUCGCGGUGUACUUACAAAAGAACGUAUUGAUAAAGAUGAACAAGUAACGACCAGGUGAAAGUUUGGUUUCAGAAUAGGAAGAUGAACAAAUAACAAUAGCCAACUAGUUUAAAGGACCGAUUUGGAAAAGGGAGAGAACAUGAACAGAUCUCGGAUAUUAAAUUGUCUGAAAUCGAUAAGAGCGAAAAACACAAAGUGAAGAAAUAAAAAAGUACAUUCCAUUAAGGUCUAUUGAAAGAUUCAUUUACUUCGAUCGUUUAUUAGAAAAUAAUCCACAGCUUUUUGUGGAAGUACUAAGUAAAUUUGUUGCAAGCAGUAAGUAAAUUUGUCAGAAGAAAAGUAUGAUCGGGAAUAUAGCAUUAUCAAAUACGCUUUCGGCAGUAUGUACAAAAAAGUAUAUCUAUAAAGGCGAGAUAGUAGAGGUCAAAUAAAAAUAUAGUUACAAAAUAGGAAUGUGAGCAACCGAAAGCAGGGGUGAUAAAAUUAAAUCUAGAAGACAGAGAAGAGCAGGAACAUAGUUUCAGAAGAUUGGAGUACUAUUUGACUAUUAUCCAAGAAUGGCGCGAACAUGAAUUGCAGAAUCGUCUAGGUGAACAAUAGUGAUAUAUUGAGUACUGGUUUCAAUUUUUAUAGCGCAACGACCUUAAGUCACGAUCUGGAUUAAUGAUAUUAGAAACAUGAAAUAGGAAAUUUACACUUACCUUUAAUGGUUAACUAAUUAUAAACGAAGAAAGUUGAGACGAGAACAAUACGAUAUAUUUAACAUACGGGUAGUUAGGUAGACUCAUCGACGAUGUAUGAGAAACGAUACUUUCGUACGCAAAUUCUAUGAACACAUGGCAACUUUAAUGUACUCGGCUACAUGUCCGUUCAUAUUAAAUUUAUAUGUUUAUUUUAAAUAAUGUAACGUUUGAGAUCGUUAAAUUCGAGUGUGUUUAUUAUGUAAUUGGUGAGAAUUUCUAUUGAAACAUUGAAUGUAUUAA